rnacentral:lncRNA from 10 species
GUAAGUGCUCGAUCAAGAUUUUUAGUAGUUCACUGAAGCGUGAUUUCAAAAAGAAAGCCAAAGCAAAAUUCAGCAUUGUUAAGAAUUGUGUUUCGUGAAUUUGUUUAAACACUGUUCACCUCAAUUCCCACCUCCCUGCUAUUUGGGAUCUACAAUGCUGUUGAAUUUACAAUGCCAGCUGACAAAGAAACAGUCUCGCAUCAAGUGCACAGGCUACUUCUUGAUUUCUGCUGAUAGAAACCUCAGUGAUGAAAGAGGAGCAGUAUCACUUGAGUCCAUGAAAUUCCCACUUGACUCCUAACAAUGGACUUGGGGAUAUCGGCAGCUGAGCCCUCAUCCUGGUUGCUCCCUUUUGAGUUCUAUGGAUCAAGGAAUUGAAGCUAGCCAAGAUGUUUUACUUAAUAUGAAAUAAAAUAUGCAUUUCUAUGAAUAUAAUAAAAUGAUUUGCCAGAGAAUUAC